rnacentral:rRNA from 1 species
GACGAACGCUGGCGGCGUGCUUAACACAUGCAAGUCGAACGAAGUGGCGAACGGGUGAGUAACGCGUAAUAAACCUGCCCUUCAGAGGGGGACAACAGUUGGAAACGACUGCUACUACCGCAUAAUCAAGUAGGGGAGUGCGUUGGAUUAGCUAGUGGGAGGGGUAACGGCCCACCAAGGCGAUGAUCAGUAGCCGGGCUGAGAGGAUGAACGGCCACAGUGGGACUGAGACCCGGCCCAGACUCCUACGGGAGGCAGCAGUGGGGAAUCUUCCGCACUGGACGGAAGUCUGACGGAGGAACGCCGCCUGAGUGAUGACGGCCUUCGGGUUGUAAAGCUCUGUUAAUCGGGACGCGGUACCGGAAUAGAAAGCCACGGCUAACUACGUGCCAGCAGCCGCGGUAAUAC